GAUUAACGCUGGCGUCGUGCCUAAUACAUGCCUGUCGAGCGAACGGACUAGAAUCUUGCUUUUCUUAUGUUAGCGGCUGACGGGUGAGUAACACGUGGAUAACCUACCUAUAAGACUGGGAUAACUUCUUUAAACCGGAGCUAUUACCGUUUUAUAUUUUUAACCGCAUGGUUCAAAACUGUAAGACGGUCUUCCUUUCUCUUAUAGAUGGAUCCGCGAUGCUUUAGCUCGUUGGUAAGGUAACGGCUUACCAAGGCAACGAUGCAUAGCCCCCCUGAGAGGGUGAUCGGCCACACGGGAAAUGAGACACGGACCAGACUCCUACGGGAGGCAGCAGUAGGGAAUCUUGCGCAAUGGGCGAAAGACUGACGGAGCAACGCAGGGUGAGUGAUGAAGGUCUUAGGAUCGUAAAACUCUGUUAUUAGGGAAGAACAUAUGUGUAAGAAACUGUGCACAUCUUGACGGUACCUAAUCAGAAAGCCACGGCUAACUACGUG
rnacentral:rRNA from 1 species